GUAAAAACUUGUCCUGCGGCAAUGGGAUUCGCUUUUGCUGCUGGAACCACAGAUGGACCAGGAGCAUUUGAUUUUACACAAGGAGAUGAGAAGGGGAACCCUUUCUGGAGAUUGGUGAGAAACGUUCUUAAAAAACCGGACAAGAAACAAAGCGAUUGUCAUUACCCAAAACCAAUCUUGCUUGACACUGGAGAAA